rnacentral:tRNA from 1 species
GGCGGGGUAGCUCAGUCGGUUAGAGCGUCGGAAUCAUAAUCCGUAGGUCGUGGGUUCGAGUCCCUCCCCCGCUA